rnacentral:pre_miRNA from 1 species
UUAGAAGUGUACGUAUAUCCCAUGUAAAAUUCGGGAUAUACUUAAACUACAA